rnacentral:tRNA from 1 species
UGAUAUGAAGCAAUUUGCAAUUAGUUUCGACCUAAUUUUUUGAUAAAUAUUAUCCAUAUUAA